rnacentral:rRNA from 1 species
UGGGGAAUAUUGCACAAUGGGCGAAAGCCUGAUGCAGCAACGCCGCGUGAGCGAAGAAGGCCUUCGGGUCGUAAAGCUCUGUCCUCAAGGAAGAUAAUGACGGUACUUGAGGAGGAAGCCCCGGCUAACUACGUGCCAGCAGCCGCGGUAAUACGUAGGGGGCAAGCGUUAUCCGGAUUUACUGGGCGUAAAGGGUGCGUAGGCGGUCUUACAAGUCAGGAGUGAAAGGCUACGGCUCAACCGUAGUAAGCUCUUGAAACUGUUAGACUUGAGUGCAGGAGAGGAGAGUGGAAUUCCUAGUGUAGCGGUGAAAUGCGUAGAUAUUAGGAGGAACACCAGUUGCGAAGGCGGCUCUCUGGACUGUAACUGACGCUGAGGCACGAAAGCGUGGGGAGCAAACA